rnacentral:tRNA from 1 species
GCCUCCUUGGCGCAGUUGGCAGCGCGCAAGUCUCAUAAUCUUGAGGUCGUGAGUUCGAUCCUCACAGGGGGAA